rnacentral:lncRNA from 1 species
UUAUUUUCACAAGAUGAUCCGUCAAACUUUUUAAGUUGUAACAGUAAGUUGCAACCCAGUUGGCUGGUCGGGGUUAAGUAACUUCAAUAGGAAAAUUCUGAAUGCACUUGCCCAGUUAUGACAAAGAACAAGCACAAUAUUAUCGUAUUUGUGAUCUGCCAAACUUCCCAAGUAAACUGAAAACAACUCUUAACUACCUCAAAACUUUUUAGUGUUAGAGAAGGGGAUUAGCACUUCAAUCAAAGAUCUAAAACAUAUUUCUGAAAAAUCGUAGCUAAGUAGAUUCUUUGAAAAUGACCAAAUCAAUGUGUGAACUUGAAGAGUAGCAUCCCGAGGAAUUAGCAAUUAGCAAGUAAUCAAAAAAUUGAAUGCUAAUGGCAUUACACAGUCAAAUACUUUAAAUGAUCUGAAGGAUAUUUUGCAACGUUAAGUUGGAAACUGAGAACAGAUUGGUGAUCAUUCCAAUAAAUGCUUGGCAAAGAAACUCUGCACUCUUCUUGCUUUUCAAAGACAGCAUCGAUCAUCACUGCCACAACAAAACAGGGUUUCUCACCUGCCAUC